GAUCAUGGCUCAGGAUGAACGCUAGCUACAGGCUUAACACAUGCAAGUCGAGGGGCAGCAUUUUUAUAGCAAUAUAAAAGAUGGCGACCGGCGCACGGGUGAGUAACGCGUAUCCAACCUGCCCACCACUUGGGGAUAACCUUGCGAAAGUAAGACUAAUACCCAAUGAUAUCUCUAGAAGACAUCUGAAAGAGAUUAAAGAUUUAUCGGUGAUGGAUGGGG
rnacentral:rRNA from 1 species